CUGAUGCGUUGUUGGGUAGGGGAGCGUUCUGUAAGCCUGUGAAGGUGUGUCGUGAGGCAUGCUGGAGGUAUCAGAAGUGCGAAUGCUGACAUAAGUAACGAUAAAGCGGGUGAAAAGCCCGCUCGCCGGAAGACCAAGGGUUCCUGUCCAACGUUAAUCGGGGCAGGGUGAGUCGACCCCUAAGGCGAGGCCGAAAGGCGUAGUCGAUGGGAAACGGGUUAAUAUUCCCGUACUUGGUGUUACUGCGAAGGGGGGACGGAGAAGGCUAUGUUGGCCGGGCGACGGUUGUCCCGGUUUAAGUGUGUAGGUGUGUGUUCCAGGUAAAUCCGGUUCACUUUAACACUGAGGCGUGAUGACGAGGCACUACGGUGCUGAAGCAACAAAUGCCCUGCUUCCAGGAAAAGCCUCUAAGCAUCAGGUAACAUCAAAUCGUACCCCAAACCGACACAGGUGGUCAGGUAGAGAAUACCAAGGCGCUUGAGAGAACUCGGGUGAAGGAACUAGGCAAAAUGGUGCCGUAACUUCGGGAGAAGGCACGCUGACAUGUAGGUGAAGUGAUUUACUCAUGGAGCUGAAGUCAGUCGAAGAUACCAGCUGGCUGCAACUGUUUAUUAAAAACACAGCACUGUGCAAACACGAAAGUGGACGUAUACGGUGUGACGCCUGCCCGGUGCCGGAAGGUUAAUUGAUGGGGUCAGCGCAAGCGAAGCUCCUGAUCGAAGCCCCGGUAAACGGCGGCCGUAACUAUAACGGUCCUAAGGUAGCGAAAUUCCUUGUCGGGUAAGUUCCGACCUGCACGAAUGGCGUAAUGAUGGCCAGGCUGUCUCCACCCGAGACUCAGUGAAAUUGAACUCGCUGUGAAGAUGCAGUGUACCCGCGGCAAGACGGAAAGACCCCGUGAACCUUUACUAUAGCUUGACACUGAACAUUGAGCCUUGAUGUGUAG
rnacentral:rRNA from 1 species